GAAGAAAAUCAACAUGAAUGAAGAUGAAAACAAACCGAACGAAAUCUGGAUUAUCGAUGCUCCUCCAUGUCAAAGAUCAACAACAAUGAAACCUAAAAAGAAAAAUGAGAAAGAGACAAAUGAAGAAAAAAGAAAGAAAAAAAAGAAAAAAGAAAGGAAAAAAAAUGAGACGGAAAUGGAGAAGAGAGAAAUCGCGAAACAUGGGUGGGGG
rnacentral:lncRNA from 1 species